CCCUUAGAUGUUCUGGGCUGCACGCGCGCUACACUGAAGCUAUCAACACGUUUUCCCUCCCUGAGAAGGGCGGGUAACCUUUUGAAUCAGCUUCGUGGUAGGGAUCGGGGCUUGCAAUUGUUCCCCGUGAACCAGGAAUUCCUAGUAGACGCGAGUCAUGAGCUCGCAUCGAUUAAGUCCCUGCCCUUUGUACACACCGCCCGUCGCUACUACCGAUUGAACGUUUUAGUGAGGCAUUUGGACCGACGCAUCUCAGUUUAACCGCUGGUUUGUGUUGGAAAGACUUCCAAACUUGAGCGUUUAGAGGAAGUAAAAGUCGCAACA
rnacentral:rRNA from 1 species